AAUCAACGCUGGCGGCGUGCCUAACACAUGCAAGUCGAACGCGACUUAGGCUUCGGUCUAAGUUGAGUGGCGAACGGGUGAGUAACACGUGGGUGACCUACCUUCGAGUGGGGGAUAACG
rnacentral:rRNA from 1 species